GUUACUGGAUGUGUAAUUAUGGUGGGUUUCAAAGCCGUGGCUUCAUUGCAGCUUUCUUUUUGAGUUCUUUAAGUGCAUGUUUUGCUUUAAGUAGAUCAAGGUUAGAUAAUAAACAUCAAUAAGUUAAAUGCUGUAACUCUCACAUUGUGGCACAGGUAAGUUGCAGAGGCUUAUUUCUGUGUAUUCUCUUCCAGAUGUGCUGUGUAUAUUGCUCAAUUUCUAACUCCUUCCCUUGAUCACUGAUCAUAUUUAGAUCCUGAUCUGAUGAUUUGUUUACUUCGCAGCUUCUUGUUGAAUAAUGGAUAUAACCAAUUUGAAUCGGGGGCAACUCACACUAAUGGGAUCUGCAUUCUGUACGAUGCUUGCAAUGCUUUUUACCCUGCAGCUCUUAUCUCAGCAUGUAUUUUACUGGAAAAACCCAAAGCAGCAGAAGGCCAUAAUAAUUAUUAUCCUUAUGGCUCCAAUAUAUGCCAUUGACUCAUUUGUGGGUUUGCUGGAUGUUAAGGGGAGCGAGGCAUUCUUCAUGUUCUUAGACUCCGUUAAGGAGUGUUACGAGGCUUUGGUGAUUGCCAAGUUCCUGGCUUUGAUGUAUAGUUACCUGAAUAUAUCUAUUAGUAGAAAUAUUGUGCCAGACGAGAUAAAAGGAAGGGAAAUUCACCAUUCUUUCCCAAUGACACUUUUCCAGCCUCACACUGUCCGGUUGGACCACCGUACAUUGAGGCUCCUCAAAUACUGGACGUGGCAAUUUGUUAUCGUUCGUCCAAUAUGCUCAGUUUUGAUGAUAACACUACAAAUUCUUGGGAUAUAUCCUUCUUGGUUAAGUUGGACGUUCACCAUCAUCCUCAACAUUUCAGUUUCCUUGGCGCUGUAUUCUCUGGUGGUGUUCUACCAUGUGUUUGCAAAGGAGUUGAAACCUCACAAUCCACUUGCCAAGUUCUUGUGCAUCAAGGGAAUUGUCUUCUUUUGCUUUUGGCAGGGAGUGGUGCUUGACAUACUAGUUGCCUUGGGUGUAAUUCAAUCUCAUCAUUUCUGGUUGGAUGUGGAGCACAUUGAGGAAGCUAUUCAGAAUGUUUUAGUGUGUUUGGAGAUGGUUGUUUUCUCUGUUCUCCAACAGUAUGCAUACCAUGUCUCGCCUUAUAGUGGAGAAGUGGAAACAAAGAUGAAACUGAAGAAGAAAGAAUGAUAUGUGCAUAUGGAACAUCCAAUGGAUUCCUUGCUUCUAUCGAAAAAAGAAAGGGACAAAUGUAACCGAAAAUUUUUGUUAGACGCCCACGUCAAGUUACACUUCAAGCUAGCAGAAAAUGGCCAGCUGCAAAGUGCACUAGGUGAAUUAUGAUUAUGGUUUCAUCUGCACCAUUACAUCUUUUAUUUUAAAGAAUCUGUAGCUACCAAUUCAUCACAUGGUAUACAACUCAGGUUUUUUUAGUCUAAACAUUUGUUUGAAAUGUAGGGUCAGAUUCUGUUCUUGCCUUAAGGAUGUGUGCAUUACAUGAGGAUUAUGAUUGAUAUCUAAUGGCCAUUUGCAAAUUGGUGGAAGUGAUGACGACUUCAAUGGCAACCAAUAAUAUAUAAUGGACAAUGGGUUCAAAACAAAAUGGACUCUCUGCUACAUA